rnacentral:lncRNA from 1 species
UUGAUGCCUUCCUUGGAUAGCAACAACAUGGCAUAGCAAAAUAAUAAUCAAAACCGAUUCCUUGUAGGACUCUGGACUGAUGCCAUCGCCUUGAUCUUGAUGUGGACAGGGGCAGAUGAAUUGCCUCUCCCCGGUUCAAACUCCACAGUAUACAACCUUGGACGGUAAUAUGAAAUUGAUUUUGCCUCAAGUCGGACUUGUACUAAUGGAGAAUUUUGAUGAGUCAGCAAGUUGUGAUUGUCCGCACAUAACAGCAAUCCUGUCGUACCAAGUAAAUUGAUCUUGAUGAUGAGGUCCUUCAAGCUCGCCUGAUGAUCUCGACGAUCACCCC